GAUGAACGCUGGCGGCGUGCCUAAUACAUGCGAGUCGAGCCAACAGACGAGGAGCUUGCUCCUCUGACGUUAGCGGCGGACGGGUGAGUAACACGUGGAUAACCUACCUAUAAGACUGGGAUAACUUCGGGAAACCGGAGCUAAUACCGGAUAAUAUAUUGAACCGCAUGGUUCAAUAGUGAAAGACGGUUUUGCUGUCACUUAUAGAUGGAUCCGCGCCGCAUUAGCUAGUUGGUAAGGUAACGGCUUACCAAGGCAACGAUGCGUAGCCGACCUGAGAGGGUGAUCGGCCACACUGGAACUGAGACACGGUCCAGACUCCUACGGGAGGCAGCAGUAGGGAAUCUUCCGCAAUGGGCGAAAGCCUGACGGAGCAACGCCGCGUGAGUGAUGAAGGUCUUCGGAUCGUAAAACUCUGUUAUUAGGGAAGAACAAAUGUGUAAGUAACUAUGCACGUCUUGACGGUACCUAAUCAGAAAGCCACGGCUAACUACGUG
rnacentral:rRNA from 1 species